CAGAUCCGACCUCUCUGCCGUUCCUGGGAGCGAACUCGUAUUCUUCCGUGCCCUCCCUGCCUUGCCUCUGACAACUUCUCCAUGGCUGGAUGACUGAAAUAAUUUCAAGUCUGUUUUUACUAGAACCUGAUCACCACCUGUUUGAGUGAAGAAAUUGAGGACUGUUUGAAAGUAAUGCCUUUGGCAACACAUACACCUUGCUCGGUCUGUCUCACAUCUUCAUUUUAUCAUAUAAAAGGCUUUUCCAAGUGUUGCCUGAGAACAGUGAAAACCUCAUUAUGAGCUGAAAACUGUUGGGGAUUUCAGUGUUGAUAAUGAAAAUCUUAUUUAUGGAAUUGCUGAAUACGCAUAUAAAGUCUAAAAAGCAGCAGCCUACUAGAUGAAAUAAUAGUCCAAGGGAAAAGGAGUAGUGUAAUUACAUCAUUCCUGUUUUAUAAUGGUGAUUUUCUUGCAUGGUCAUAUUGAAAGAGAGUCAGAGACCUGUAAGGUGCAGUUGUUUCUGGCAUCUCGCAGGCUGGUUUCAGGACUCGCAUAAGUUUGCUGUCCAGUUAAUAUUUUGGUAGUAUGCAAAAGGUGUGAUCUGUCAGAGAUUGCUGAAAAUGUGGAAGCAUUUUUCUGCCUUUAGGGUCAUGUAAGAAAAGGUGUAAACCCCCACUAGAGAAGGAAGAAGAAAAUAAAUAUGGAUCAGGAAACUCAUAUCAUUUUCUAAAACUGAGCUAGGUCCUCUCGUGGGUUGUGCUGUAAAUACAUGGUAAUGAAAUAUAUGGUAAAUACAGCUUUUCUGCGACUAAACCCAUCAGAUACAAUUAAAAGCCAGGACAUGUUUACCAGGGAAAUAUGCCCUGUAAGGGAAUAAAAGCUAUACAGUUUCCUAACUCUGUUUCAUUACAUGCUUUUAUUCCACUGAGAUCAGUAAUCAUGUCAGAAUAGAGCUAGUAAAAUAUGAUGGGACAUAAGGGCCUUUAAUACCAGCCUCUCUGCCUGUCUGUCCUUUUAUAUGGCACCUCCCAACACAGUGUCUGAGUGCAGAGUUCUUCACCCUCAUCUGAUUUAAAACUUAAAAUGGAUGCGGCAGAGACCUCUCGUCCAGAGUAAACUGCUCAAGAUGAAUCAGCUGCUCAGAUUGGCCUCACAGAAAUGAUAAUGGGGUUCUGUGUUCACAGCUGAGUUAUUUAAACUGUCUGAUUUGGUCCACGGCUUCCUUGGACAUUAAUAGGUUGACUGCUAUGUCGCUGAACUUGGUGCAUGAGAGGUCAGCCUUUGAAAAGCUAAAUAAGGUAAGUGCAAGCUGCAGCGUGUUCCCAGCGAUGCCGCGCACUCCCCACGCUCCCAAAGCCCCCCGGAACCACUACUGCUCCUCAGCAUCUUCCCAUAUCUGAUUGCAAAGUGGUGGAUCCUUGGAUCAAUGCUUUGGUUUUGAUCUCCCCUCCACCAGGAGAUUCGGGGUUGCUCACGUGUUAUAAACACAUGCUCCUGCUGGUGCAUCUUGAGGGAGGAGGAUUGAAAACUUCUUAGGAGGCAGCUUUUCAUCAAAUGCAGACUUAGAUGAAUUGGAAAGAUUUCUCUGGACUACAGCAAUUUUGCUGAAAUUGCUGAGGAGCAGCAUUAUCAGGCAAGGACACUUUCUUUCAAUAAAGAUAGGAUGCUUCAGCUGACUUUUGUUUGAUUAUAUUGUAAAUUCUAACAUGCUAUUGUGGACACCUUGAAGCCAUUAAGGCAAAAUGAAGAAUUCAAACAGUAUCGAGAUUAAAUGUUUUCUACUGUCCCAAACAAAGCAUAAUUCAAUUAAAGUACUUUUGAUGAUCUCUACGCUGAGGCAAUUUCAUUUUUGAGAUAUAUUUCAUCAUUUAGAUUAAUACUCCUGCAUGAAAGAAAAGCGAAUUUUGGCAUGCUGAUAUUUCCUGCAGACCCAGCAGCCCAUGAGAGGGAUUGGAAAAUUCAGACUAAGAGCAUCUCUCUCCUCUUUCCCCAAGCCCUCUCUUUGAUGCAGGACCAUGGCAGGGGGGAGAGGAGGGAGAAAGAUAAGAAUUGGGUUUAUCAUCUAUAAAUAGAGACAGCCCUUCACACUCACUUUCUUGAGAAGUUUUAGAGCACUAGGGGAAAGAAGAACAAAAUAAAUCUAAGAGACGCUGGGAAAGUUCUGUACAUUUCAGGAAUGUUCAGAAGCAAUGUUAACUCUGGCAGUCCAAGUUCAGAGGCUUAUUCUUUAAAAAGACACCAUCAAUUAGUUUCUCAAGUUUAAUUCUGUCCUGUGUCAACCAGCUGGGAAGUUUGUUGAGCAAUAAGCAUAAAUGGUUUGGGGAAUAUAAAUCAUUGCCCCUGACAUCCAGGGAAAGUAUUACUCCUUGUUCUACUGACAUGGUUGUAGGUACUACAUAUUCCUUGUGCAGAAUCUUGGGCAGAAUCAGCAGCUUGGUUCAGGCCUAGAUUUUUAGAUUAUGGGAGUUACAUGCUGAAAGAAAUUGUUAGGAAAUUUAGCAAAGAAAGUUGUCAUCACACUUUGACCUAAAAUGGAAUAAAACUGUCCACUGCUAAGGGACCUAAUAGCAAACCUGUCAACAUUACAUUAUAAAUAUUUUUAAAAUAAUUGUUUUAUAUGGACUUUGCUAUACUGGAUUUCUUCCUGCUUGGUUUUUUGUUUGCUUUUUUUUUUCGCAUAGGUGAAGAGGAUGUGGAAAAUAGACCAUACAUGGAAAUCUGUGAAUCCCAUGCUGGCAUCUGUAUUAAAGGAUCAUUUUGUGGGAGAAAACAGAAAGCCUGCCAAACUUUGGGAUCUUUGAUGUGCUUUGGAAAGAAAAACAAUGCUAUCUAUCCAAGUCGUCUGAAGGGAACAAAAAUAUGUCAUUACUUGAGAAGAACAAUCAAUACAUUUCACAAUUAAAGAUGGUCAAAAGUUUUUAAUGUUUUUCUGGAAAUUGUUUAUUAAGAAAAUUUCCGAGAUAUUUGACCAUUUAACUUUCCUUGAGAAGAGGUCCUGAUUUAUAAGGGCCUGUUACAUCAUUUCCAUGAUCUGCUCUCACCUUCCACUGCAGUGGCCGUAUGGGAAAUGCAUCUGCUUCUACAACCGAGCUUUAAAGAGCUCAAGAAAACUCAUAUUCAUGCACAGCCUUACACUUCACUGGGAUUCCCUGACUUGGAGACUGUCAGCAUUGGCUUAUUAUACAAGCUCUUUGUUUUAUCCUAUACAAUAUAUCUCACCAUACACAAUUUGGCCUCUUAACCUGCCGUGAAAUAUUUCAAGGGCUUGUUGCUGGAAAACGUCGUCUCUCCUCGCUGUGAUUUGUGCGGCCGCGGCUGCAUUUUCCUGACAGCUUAUAAUGAUUCGUGGUGGGUUGCAAUACAAUGAACUCAUGCUGCAGAACAGCACACUGAAAAAGAUCUUUCAAAUUAUUGUUCCGGUGCAAAAGGUGCCCAAUCACCUUCCACCUGCGGAUUAGUCGGUUGCUAUAGGAACACACUGUAGCUUUUCAGUGCUGCGCCACUGUAGUGCCCAGAUUACUGACUCUGACAAACACAAUAGGGGGAAAGAAUCACAGGUUAUUAGUGCUGCUGCUGAUGUGAUGUUACAAACCUGGGGUGGCACAGAGCAGAUGAAUAGAGCAGGAGCCUUGAAAUGCAAAGGACGGGAGGAGGAGAGGGAGAAGAGUGAAGUAGAGCUAAAGUCAUCGCUACGGAAAUGUUGUCUUUGAUCUCAUCUUCCACUCUGAAUAGGAUUAACUUUGACCAAGGUCAGAGCAACUAGUCACCAAUAUUCUUCAUGGGUGAGUCAGGCCUCCUGCAUCCCUGGGAAAUAUCACCUGGAACAUCCACCUACGCACAGGACUUUAAGAGGGAAUUUUGCAGCAUCAGAAACACGGAGUGAACAGCUGAGAUCAGGUCUUUGUCUACUUUGGUGGCCAUAACUGAGACUCAGGAGUUUAUGCUGCUGAGCACCCUCCUGCAGAGCGAGCUGCCUGUGUGUUUCAGAGGGGAGAAAUAACUGCUUGCAGCUCUGAUUUGUAGAUGGUCUAAAAUUCCCAGAAACAGUUUUGCUACCACUUGUGCUUGGGCAGGGUGAAGCGGAGGAAUAAAAUAUAUACUUGUCCACUGCUUGUGUGCCUUGAGCAAAACAAGCUGUGUUUACUCACAAGUUCACCAGAUGGUACUCUGGGGGUUAUUGCUGUUAUAUUACAUUACUGCAAUAUAUUAGACAAGGCACAGUGAUUCAUUCCCUCUCCUCAGUGCUUUUGGAGGCUGUUCUCCUCCCAACGGAAGCACAGCUGACCCUGCUGCUCAUGACCCUUGGGACCCCUGUGGGCUCCUGUUGGUGCAUGGGCAGGAAGCACCAAAUGUCCCAGCACCAGUGGUGACACCAAACCUUACAGGAGACCUGUCUUACAUGCAGCUCUGUGCCCAGAGAAGUGACUCCACUUUCUGAUUUGAGCCAGCUGAUUUGGGACAUCAUUUUCAACCCUGGGUGCCUCCUCCCUCCUCCCGUGCUCCAACCCCACUUGUUUUGCCUUCACAUUGGACCCUCCCUGACCUUGCAAUUGGACCCACAUGACCCUCUAAGCAGGGAAGUGGCCUCUCUCAACCCCUUGUUUGCAAAAUGGACUGGAGUACAGAGUUUGCACUGUACUUGUAGAGCCCAAGAACUAUCAAAACACCACAGAGAGGUAUUGUUUUCCUCCACUUCUGUUACUCUGUAGGCUGAAACCCUCCAUCCAGUGAAUUAUGUGCUGGCUGACACCGAAGAACCCGUCCUGGACUGGUGCCACAUGUGCAUGCAGGGCAUAGGUGCUGCUGUUGGUCAGCUGGACGGCCCCUGGGACCAUCUGCCACCCCUCUUUGGCCUCCCUGUCUCCACCAUUAUGUUCACUGACCAGCUGCUUUUCCUCACUGCCCUUGACAAAGCUCCUAAGCCACAGUCAACCCUUGCUAUGAGAGGAGACAAAGAAAUGCCACAGCCACUCACUCUCCCAAUGGCCUUGAGCUUCUGGUGCUCUGAGGCCGUGCCCUGAUCCCAGGUUUCCUUCUGCUCUCCAGCGCUGUCCUCAUGGUGCCAUGACACUGACUAGCAUCCCCAGUGCUCUCCCCUAGUCACAAGCUCAGGAUCAAAAUAUACUUCAGUUUUGCCUGAGCCAUCUAAAAGAGUGAUGGAACAGGUUGGUCUGAACGUGCUUGGAUGAGAAUUUCACCACAGGCAUUACUGUAAUUUCAGGCAACUUGAAAACUGCAAAUUGGGCCCUCUGUCCCUUAGAUUAUGCUUUUCAUUUUAUGAUCCUCUGGAGGAAAAUUAAUUUCCUGGGCUGAACUCCUGUCUGCAGAUUUAGAGGGACAGAACACACUCUGCCUGUUUAGUUUUAAGUGGCUUCAAAUGGGGACGUAGAAGGGAAAUUGAGAGAGACACCUGACCAGGGAAGUAUGGAAACCUAGCUCCAAUAAAAUAAUGGGAAAAUCCUCCAUCACCAUCGUCAUAGGUGUGCAUGACCUUAGCAGAGCUCAGGAGCGCUAUGGGAACAGCAGUACUACACUCCUGUUUUGCCUUAUUUUUUUAUCAACAAUGUUCUCCUCCACUCUGACGUCAGCUUCAAGAUUGCUCGCUGUGAUGUGCUGCACCUUUCAUAUUUUCUUUCCAGUCAUAAUAUUGCUUCAGUCGUAACCUCAGCACUUUGAGGAAUAAUUGUCCCUGACAAGGGGGUGAAUCACUGGCAGAGAGUUGAUAAGCAUUACAUACAGAUGACAGAAGUCAGGACAUAUCGGAUUACUGCUGUGAAUAUAAUAAAAGAGAGCCUAAACACUUUGGCAGCUCAAAGACAAGCCAUUUCAUAACUCUCUAGUGGGGCUAUUAUCUUCCAUUUACUGCCACUGAUAACCAGGUUGCAACUGUCUCCCUAGGAUCUAGUUACAAUUCACUUAACACUUAGAGGACCAGACAUAUUGGAGGACACUCAGAUGAGGAUAAUUUCUUAAAGAUCAUUUAUUUUUAAAUUUUUAUCUUCCUUGCUUCCCCUCUUUAUAGUGCGAUAAGAACCUAAAUCAGGAAGCUUUGAACUUCUUUGGGGAAAGGAGAGUUCAUGGUCAUCUUCCCUUUAAUCUUUCACUCCUGAGUUUCUUUUGAAGCCAGUUGUUCAUAUCCAGCUGAAUAAGUGACAAGCAGGUUUCCACCUCUGUUACUCUUGUAAUACAUGCACCCAGACCUAAAAGCUUGUUCUGAUACUGACUCCAUUAGGUUUACACGUAGGUGUUAGGGUUUUAUUUUUGCAGCCAGGAAGGGGCACCUGAGCUUACAAAUCAGGGGGUGUUGGUGUGUAUCAGUAACACAUAAUUCACAGCAGUGCCAAUUACAAUCCACACUGGUGGAAUCUGGAUACAGAUGAUAUUUAUAUGCACUACAUGAGAUUUUGUUUCUAAACCUCACUGCCUAAGAGGAGGUUAACACUUCAUACUCCAAGAUACCAAAGUUCUCUCUUUUAGGCUAAAGAAAAAAAGAAUUACUUGGCUAUGGCAGAAAUGUGGCAAAUCACCUAUGACUCUCCUUACUAGCAAGCACACCACUGAGAAAUAUUUAUUCAUCUUAGGGAUUAAACCCUCUAUGUGUGAAGGGAAACUCUGUAUUCUGCAAAACUUUCCUCCUGCAUCCACACCAUGAUGAACAAACGUAAGCUGUGCUCAGCUUUCAGCAUCUGAGGUGUUCUCAGAUGCAGGACAAAAGUUGAUUCACCCUUUCUCAGGCUGAAGACUGGAGCCUUUUUUUGUAAGUUUGGCUGCACAAAUCCAUUCUAGUCUACCAGAACCCCCUUCACAGCCACUGGGGGAGGAAUAUCUUUGCCAAAGAUGGAUCAGGAUGAUGGGAGGACAAAAGCUCAGUGCUGUUGGCAACUCAGAGGUUGUGCAUUUAUAAAUGUACCCCUUAUCCCAUGAAAAAGUGUUGUUCUUACAUUCCCAUCACUGGAAGCUCUGCAAAGAAGCCUCUUUAUAUGUGUUUGAAGGGCCAGAUUUGGUGAUCUAAAGACUAAAACAUCCUUCUGUUACUUACUUCUUUAACUCACAGUGCAAACUUUACAUCUUAGCUGGCCAAAAAUAGGUCCUUACUGCUUUAUAUAUACCACCCCAAAUCUAUUUUGGAGAGAAAUUGUACCAGGCUUUCUUAAACUACAAAUAAUAAACAAUGCUUAAUUGCCUUUCAGUAUGAUUUGCAUCCCCUCUUGAUUUUUCACAGCACAAGUCCUCUUCUGCUACAAGGAACCUGUAAAGAACAACAGCAAUUAAGGAGGGAGGAAAAAAGUUCAUUCGUUGUUGAAACAGUAAUUCGAAGUUGUUUUCUCCUCAGGACUUCUGGAUCUUACCACUGACUUUCUAGCAGCCAGGGAAAGCCAGAUUGGAUAAAACACAUUAUGUCCACAUCUUGGAGAUGUUUGAUCAGUUCUGUUCUUGAAGAUUUGAGUGUGAAAGAUCCUAUGGGCCCUCCAGGGAAUUUAUCCCAACAUUUUUCUGGUAAGGGCAUUUGCUAAUAUCCAAGCAGGCCCUUCCAGGACAAGUUUUGGUUUGCCACAGUGAAGAGGGAAGACACCCCAUUGGCUUCCCCUUUCUCUUGGGAAGGGAGAAGACAAGACUCUGCCAGUGUAGAAGAGCAGUGCUGAAUGACCUUAGCAAGGAGUUCUGCUCCUGCAGCCUGAUUCCCACCAGAGUCAGAGGAAGGGGUUUGCUCAUCCAGGAGUUCACUGAUGCAGUGACAUUGCCAGGCAGGAGGGUGGAUGCGCUGAACCCACCAGCCCCGCUCUGUGCCAUGCGCACAAAAUCACCGUGGCAACAGAGCUGACAGCUUGGAAACAGCAGCUGCUGCUUAAUGGAAAACAUUAGAAAAAUAACUCAUUCUAGAUCUCUGUCCCCUCUCUGCAUUUUCCUAUUUAUCACCAAAAAAAAGUGUUCUACAACCGCCACCCAGAACUUUUAAAAGCUUCAAGGUGUAAGGGUUGGACACACAGGUGUGCAGGCAAAAAGGUGAGUUUCAAAAGCCAAAAAAAAAAUGUCUGUGUAAUUCCAGCACAGACAUUUUUCUUCUUCAGCCACUGCUAAAUUGUUUGCCACUGAACAAGUGGGCCUAUGUGCAUCUUGUGGGAGUGGUGUGGAUGUGCAAUUAUUUAUUCUUGCAUCAAACAUGGGGACGGCCAAAUGUGUGUUAAAUUCCAAGUCAGCAUUUUUGGUUAUUGCUGCUUGAAGUAUCUCUGGUUCUGCUCAGAGCUGGGCUCACUGGAAAGAAGUAUCCUAAGAAAAACAAACAACUGUCUCUGGUAAAAUCUCCUCCUUUUUAUUUUUUAAUAAAAACAAAUACCAACUUCUUUUUUUUCUUCUGUUGCAAGUGUUCUGGAAAAGUCCAGUAUAGACAACUCUAAGGCAGCUUCCCUGGGUAAAAACCAAAUCAAAGUAAUGCUACAUCACCAUGUGAAAUAACAAAUUAGGUAGAGAGACAUUAACUGGUGUCAUUCAUCAGUCUGAAGUGAUACGAUUUAUAACAGGAUAAUAAUGGCCAUAGUUGUAUAAGUAGUAAAGGUAAAAUUACAUCAUGACUUGCAUUAGCAGUAUGAGAUUAUAUCCUGAUUAAUGCUCAAUUAACUUGUCAUGGGUACAACACAUGUGUUUGUAGGUGGCCAGAUGGGUUACGCCACAUCUCAUGCUCACAUGUGUAGCAUUUAUCACUUUCUCCUUAUCUCCCAAAAUUAGAUGGCUACAUCCACUACAAUCUUUAGACACCUCACUGCCUUGAUGCAGAACCAUCUGACAUCAGGGUACAGCUAAGAAACCCUUGGAGAUGACCCCUGGGAAAUCUUAAACAGAUGCAUGAGUCCUGCUCCUCUCUACAGAUCUGGGGCCUCAUCCGUAGUUCCAAGGAGGCAUCUCCGAGGUGAGAGCAGCAGCCUCAGCUGCUCUUCUGCUGGCAGGCACCACUCACCUGAGCUGCAUAUCACAGCUCCCACCCCCGAGAGAAAGCCCCCAACACCCUAAAGCACUCUGGGUGAGGGAUCCCUUCUCUCUUCUAUUCUAAUUUUGCAGGGGAAAAUAAUUAAGCUGCAGGGACAACUGAGAAGGAUUUUUACUUUUAAUUGUAAUUACUGAGGGAGGUGCUUCAGCUUCACCUGAACUCCUCUGUAGGUGCAGAACUGGGUUAUUUGUCCAUGUGCUGACAUGCAGGUUUGCUUAUUCACACUCUCCCUCCCUCUGUUGUUCCUUUCUGCUGUUUGUCUGUGUGGCUGCAGAUCUGGGUGCAUGCAAACAUGUAUAAAGCAGUGAGGUGGUUGAAGGCAGACAAAGGGCCCCCUAGUUUUAAUCUCUGUUCCAUUGCAAACUCAAUGUUUAUCCUUGAGAAACUCAUUUUAAUUUCCCUUACCAGGUUUCUCAGUCUGAAGGGGGAGGGAUAUUACAUUGUUAGGCCGGCCUACCUCACACUGUAUGAGAUACCCAGUUAGAUCUUUGAAGCUGUAAAUUGCUAAUUGAUGACAGAACAGAACUUCUCAAAAUAAAUCAGAUUUUUUUUUUUUUGCACACUUUUUACUAGUGAAGCCUACCAGAAAAGGUUGGCUCAUUUUGAUCCUUCCUGUGUUUCAUUUUCAUGUUAGAUGGUACUCCCCAGUUCCAACACCAAAUGAUGGGCAUUUUCCAACAUUUCCAAUUUAGAAGCAAAAGCUCAUAUAAUAAGGAAAAAAAUCUAAUAAUUUUCUUGUAGUGAAAUGUCUUUUCCAGCUGACAAUACUGAGCACUGGGAUAUAGGGCAUCCAGCAGUUGGAAACAUGCAGAUUCUGAGUCCCAUUUGUGCACGUCUUGAGUGUUCAAGAGAAAAAGGGAACCAUGUUAUGUUUGGAUUCAGUUGUUAGAAAAUUUUUAUGUUCUUCAGAAUGACUUCUGCUGAAUAGAAUUUAGCAAAUAAAUGCCUAAUGAACAUGCUUGUAUCAAACAUUUCCAGCACAGACAGUGCAGUUCAUCAUUUCCACCCCUGACAGUUUUGAUUCUGGGAUGAUUAGCUAAGGAUCAAUUUUGGUGAUACUUCUCCUGUCCAGAGUAGACACUUCACUCUGUAAUGUAUAAGGCAUCUAUUUUUGUUAUUAGAAACACACUUUAUUAUGGCCUGAUCUCAAUUUUCAGUGUAUCCUGACAGAUACCAUCUAGCGAUGAUGCUACAGAAAGCCAGCCAAGACUUCAUUUACACAAGUAAAAAUGAAAAGUGACAUCAGCAUCUAUUUGAGCUGUAAGUUCUGAUACAACAAAAUUCAAGUAAGUUUUUACAACAGCUUUAAUUCUGUGUUUGAGUGCACCCUAGGCCUUAGACUAGCCUAGGAGAGACCACAAUCUGAUGUUCUCCCUUUAACAUGUAACGAAAAACUCAUGUAUUAUUAAAAAUAAAAUCAUUCUCUCUCAUU